AUUGAACGCUGGCGGCAGGCCUAACACAUGCAAGUCGAGCGGAGCUGCGGACGGGUGAGUAAUGCCUAGGAAUCUGCCUGGUAGUGGGGGAUAACGUCCGGAAAAGGGCGCUAAUACCACAUACUAUCAGAUGAGCCUCGGUCGGAUGAGCUCGUUGGUGGGGAAAAGGCCUACAAAGGCGACGAUCCGUAACUGGUCUGAGAGUAUGAUCAGUCACACUGGAACAGAGACACGGUCCAGACUCCGACGGGAGGCAGCAGUGGGGAAUAUUGGACAAUGGGCGAAAGCCUGAUCCAGCCAUGCCGAGUGUGUGAAGAAGGUCUUCGGAUUGUAAAGCACUGUAAGUUGGGAGGCGUUACCAAAAGAAAAAGCACCGGCUAACUUCGUGACAGCAGCCGCGGUAAUAC
rnacentral:rRNA from 1 species